AAGGACAUUCGAUUGGAUUUGAAGAGCUGUAUGUUCUGGUUCCAGUUCUGUCACAUAUUUCCUCUGGGAUUUUGCAUAGACUCUGCCUUAUCCAAGCUUUAGUUUGUCCAUCUGUGCUGAUUGCCAUUGGGUCUGGGUUGGGCCCAGCACUUUCCCUGCGUGGUCUACCAGUGAGCACUAACAGUUUUCAUAGCCACAUGGGAGGCAGGAAUGAAGACCAAUGUCACACCAGUUACCAGGUCACUGCCAGCUGGUGACAGGAACCCUCUUAGAUUGCAGGUGUCACUGACCCCAACUCCAAGCUGUUCACAUCCCAGCACAUGUGUCAUUGCUAAUGAUUGAUCUCUCUGCUUUUGAAAAUUGGCUUUCACUGUUCUUCUGAUCACUGUCCGUAGAGAAUCAGCUGUUCUCUCACCUCACAGAAAGUACUGAGAUCCCUCCUUACAUGAUGAAGUGUCCAAGCAAUGGCUUAUGUAGCAGACUUCCUGCAGACUGCAUAGAGUGUGCGACCAAUGCCUCCUGUACUUAUGGGAAGCCUGUCACGUUUGACUGCACGGUGAAACCCUCUGUUACCUGUGUCG
rnacentral:lncRNA from 1 species